UUGUCUACGUUGAUUUUGUCGUAUCUGCUAUAUCUCCAUUAUUGCUUCUUAUCUUAUCUUUCCAGUUGGCAUCUUGUCUUCUUUUAUUCUAGAUGUACUUCUGGAAUAAUAUUAUCUUCUCCAUUACACCUUGAACAUUGGUGAUCUGGAUAUUUGUGUCCAAUUAUUUUACAAUAUCUUGUCAGUAGUCCGUCUGAAAUAAAUCCUUUUUUAAUUGCUCUUGCGGUAGAUUGUUUUUCUGGGUUGAGUAAUGUCAUUAUCCAUUGUCUGACAUCUUCUAUAUCUGCUUGUCGUAGCUCUUUUGAAGUAGAGUAAAUCAUUUGAUGAUCUCUCGA
rnacentral:lncRNA from 1 species